GCAGUAGACCUUUGGUUGCGGGCAGCAGACUAGGGAGGGGUCCGUCCAACCAUUCCAAAAACUGACAUGGAAGCCUGCUGUAUUUGCAUCGAUUGCCGACCCCAGUAGUAGUCUACUAACUAACGAAUAAGCCUUAGUCAGUCUUCUAGGGCUGGGCUAUAUUGUCGGAUCGGAUCUUUCUUGCCUGUCAUACGGAAUCAUUUCGACAUUUUGCUGAGUUGUUCGGUCAGCGUUGUUGUGGGAGUUGUCUGUUGUGUAAAUUGUUUCAGCUCUCGGGCACGUCGGCUGGGCGUUCGUGACUGUUAUUUGCGAAAAGAAAGAUAUCUCCAGCAGUACCAGACACACCUCUUGGAUAGGCAGUUGGAAGUCAUAUUUCUCUGACCGUGGUCUCCUACCAAGUUUCCAACGCCAUGACGUCCAAGAAGCUCUACGGCAAAGAGCUCAAGGAAUUCGACGAUAUCGAUGUCGACGAUCUUCUCACCCAACUCUCGGCGGAGGAAUUGGAAAUUCUCUCCAAAGAAGUCGAUCCUGAUGACCGGUUUAUGCCUCCUGAUCAGCGCACCAACUAUCACUGCGAACGGGAAGCCACCGGUCCAGUCGACCGUAAGCAACUAAUCGACCACAUUAACAAGAUUGCCCUGGAAACACCCGAUCAGCCCGAAAGUGUGCCAUUUGUUGCCGGAGUGGUUCGUGGUAAAAAGUGGAUUCCUCCCGAAGCGCCGGUUAUUGUUAGCCGCGAGGACGAUGGCGUUUCAUUUAACCUGGAGGACGAGUACGAGCAAGCUCUGGGGACUGCCACCGAAGAAGAGCUCGUCGAUUUGGCAGCUAUUCUGGGAUUUCACUCGAUGAUGAAUCAGGACCAGUACCACGCUUCACUCCUCAACAAAGGCAAAGUGGGUCUCGGCUGGGAUGGUGUCACCAAAGCCUCGCAGCCCAAAGCCCUACCUUACGAACCUCCCAAUGCCACCGAUCCGGAACAGUCUAUUCUCAAAGUCUAUGAUGAUGAUUCCAAAACGAUCGAACUCUGCUUCAACAAUGUCAACUUGACGGAUGACCAGUUCGACCGGUUGUUUAAAGCCCUAGAAAUUAACACGCGCCUGGAAGUCCUCAGCCUCAGUAACACCGGCCUUACAGAUCGCACGGCCGAGAAAUUAGCCGAAGCCCUCGAAAAGAACGCCACCUUACGCGUCAUCAACAUCGAAACCAAUCAAGUUAGCGCCAACGGUAUUGUUCGGCUCGUGAAAAGCAUGCUGGUACAGAAGAAUGUUGAAGAAUUCCGUGCCUCUAACCAGUUGACUGCCCAUGUGCUGGGAAACAAAGCGGAGAUGGACAUCACCCAAUACAUCGAGCAAAACACUACGCUGAUGCGAGUCGGACUCUUUUUUGAGUUCAACGACGCUCGAAGUCGAGUGGCGAACCACUUGCAGAAAAACAUUGACCGCACCCGGAGAAUGGUUAAGGUCAGCGUCGGAGUGCGUGUCUUUCGAAGCGUGCGGACCCAGAGAGUGAACUGUUGAGGAAGGAAAGAAUGGCAAAGAAACAGAGUGAACAAUCACGAAAAAGCACCGCGUAAAGAUGAUUCUCUAUGUAUCCACCUCCCCCCAUUUUCACCGCGUCAGAUCGUUUGCGUCGCACUGGUCGCGCUCCUCGCAACUUGACAGCCGGCUACAUCCUGAAGAAGGACUCACCUACCGUCGGGAAGAAAAGCAACACUGGGCAGGAAUUCAAAGUCUACACUGAUUGAACAUAUUUA
rnacentral:misc_RNA from 1 species